CCUAGGGUGGCUGCAGUGAGGAAUAUUGGUCAAUGGGCGGAAGCCUGAACCAGCCAAGUCGCGUGAGGUAUGAAGGUUCUAUGGAUCGUAAACCUCUUUUAUAAGGGAAUAAAGUGUUGGACGUGUCCUGUUUUGUAUUUACCUUAUGAAUAAGGAUCGGCUCACUCCGUGCCAGCAGCCGCGGUAAUACGGAGGAUCCGAGCGUUAUCCGGAUUUAUUGGGUUUAAAGGGUGCGUAGGCGGCCUUUUAAGUCAGCGGUGAAAGUCUGUGGCUCAACCAUCGAAUUGCCGUUGAAACUGGGAGGCUGGAGUAUGUUAGGGGCAGGCGGAAUGCGUGGUGUAGCGGUGAAAUGCUUAGAGAUCACGCAGAACCCCGAUUGCGAAGGCAGCCUGCCAAGCCAUGACUGACGCUGAUGCACGAAAGCGUGGGGAUCAAACAGGAUUAGAUACCCUUGUAGUC
rnacentral:rRNA from 1 species